rnacentral:tRNA from 1 species
GCUGGUGUGGCUCAGUGGUUGAGCAUCACCCAGGAACCAGAAGGUCAGGGUUCGAUUCCCUGUCCGGGCA